GAUGAACGCUGGCGGCGUGCCUAACACAUGCAAGUCGAGCGAUUUACUUCGGUAAAGAGCGGCGGACGGGUGAGUAACGCGUGGGUAACCUGCCCUGUACACACGGAUAACAUACCGAAGGGUAUGCUAAUACGAGAUAAUGUGCUUUUAUCGCAUGGUAGAAGUAUCAAAGCUUUUGCGGUACAGGAUGGACCCGCGUCUGAUUAGCUAGUUGGUAAGGUAACGGCUUACCAAGGCGACGAUCAGUAGCCGACCUGAGAGGGUGAUCGGCCACAUUGGAACUGAGACACGGUCCAAACUCCUACGGGAGGCAGCAGUGGGGAAUAUUGCACAAUGGGCGAAAGCCUGAUGCAGCAACGCCGCGUGAGCGAUGAAGGCCUUCGGGUCGUAAAGCUCUGUCCUCAAGGAAGAUAAUGACGGUACUUGAGGAGGAAGCCCCGGCUAACAACGUGCCAGCAGCCGCAGUAA
rnacentral:rRNA from 1 species